AGAGUGCAAACCUAGGAAAUGGCAGCGAUUUAGGAAUUAAUUUGUUGAGAGAUGAAGCUUCAGAAGACUGUAUAUCAGGUUUUGAGCGUUUCCGAUUGAGCUUGGAGGGAUUUCUUGGUCAGUUGAAUAACUUUGCAGAGUGUUCUGUGAAAAUGUAUGCAGAGCUCCAUAAGUCCAUCCAGGAUGCUAAGAAUCCCCCCACACAACCUCCAUUCCAACAAGAAGUUGUUUAAUUGAAAAAAGAAUUUGGUUGCAGCGAAAGGUUCAGAAUUUCAUUUGUGCAGCAGUGUUCAAAAUUCUGAUAAAUGAAGAUCUUUGCACAGAGUUAAGUUGGAUGUGGUCAUUUGUACAUGAGGAAAGUAAUAAAAGUGUACGUGGAAGCCAUUUGUGGUACAAAAAUGAAAUAAAGAAGCUGAUAGGAAUUUGUAAGAGUGGGUAUAAAGGGAGGAGGGGUGAGUUUGUGGUUUAAAAAAAUGUUAUCGCCUGGUUGCUGAUGGUGAUAAAUAGAGUAAUUUUUCAAUGUAAAAGGACCUGUAUAGUUUUCCUUAGUCGUCACCAAUUUUUCUCAGCAACUAUAAGAACUUCAGAUCAAAUUCCACCCCAGUUAAAUAUUUUGAUUAAGCAUUGCAUUUUAAUAUUAACAUUUCCC
rnacentral:misc_RNA from 1 species